AGUCUUGCUCCCGCGGUAGUUCUUUUCUCUGUGGACGUAGCGUAUUCGUUACUCUGGCUCUGGCACGCGAGGCUGGUCAAAGCGGUGACGAAUUGAGUCGUCGUUUUGCCUCCACCUCUCCUUUUCCUCUCUCACAUCUCAUCUCCGCCGCGGCGGCCUCCUCAAUCCUCAUGGAAGCGUCACCUCAGGCCCGGUCGACGGGGUGCUCUGGGACGUAGGUGUGGUGCUCCGGAGCGUCGUUGGUGAGGCGGGAGGAUGUCUACCUCUGCUCCUCUUCUGUUGCGCGGAGGAAAUCGAGAUCUUCGCCGGUGAUCUGUCUGCAGUGGACCAGUGUGCAGGAGGAGCUCGAGGUCUCCACCAAUGCGCGGUAUGUAGGGGAGCGAGACGGAGCAGCUUGUGGUCGAUGCCCUCCGAGCAGCCCACGCCGCUUCGACUGGGCUUGGAAAGCUACGGUAUCCUCUAUUUCUCCUCACGUUUUCUCCCCCAUCUCCAGUUCUCCACUGCCACACCUCCUCACAUGUUCUAGGCGUCCUCUUCUGCUUCGUCCCACGCUGGGAUGGCUCAGUGUUGGGUCGAUCGAUCUGGCCUGGGGAUCUAGCCUGGGGAUCGAUCGAUCUGGCCUGGGAAUCUGUCCAGCGCCGGAGCCGCAGCCGCGAGCCGCUGGCCUCUCUACUGCUUCGUCCGCUGGGACCAUGGUGCAGCUGGGUGUAGAGGCGUUCGACCUGGCCGGGGGACGGGCCAGCGCUGAAGUGUCUGCCGGCGGCUACCGCAUCCUUCUCUGAUUUGCCCACGGUGGGAUGGCCCGGCGUAGGAGUGAUCGACAUGGUUGUUUGCCGCCGCCCUCCCCUUUUUCUUCUUAGGUUUUGUUCUGCUUUGUGGUUUGCUCCCAAUAUAAUCUCUGUAAAUUGCAUCACACAUCUCAGCUGCUCCGUCGAUUGCAUUAGGUACUCUUCAGAUUUUUGUUUAAGUUCAUUGCUCCUAUCUUCAGUUUCACUAUUUCUAAGUUCUUUGUGUUAGGCCAUAAUCGAUCAGCUUUUCCAUGGAAGAGUUGAGGCUCAUGGUGAUCUCAGCUGUCCAAGCGACAUGAGGAUGUUAUGGAGCUUCGAUUCCUCAGGAAAAUAUGAACCUUUCUAUGCUUUUCAAAUUUUGGUUUUCUUGGAACGUUGCUUGCUUAUUGGCCCACACUUGCUCAUGGAAACAGUCAGAAGACAAAAGAAAAUGAUAUACCAGUAAUUAGCAGUACCAUCAACAAGCUGAGGUAUGGGAGAAGAAGUUGCUGACUUGGAUAUCCAUUGAUCCUGAUGGCCCAAUCCAGGUAUUCAUUGUUUAAUGGAUAACUAUCUUUUUAUUUUCCAGGGAAGUUGAGGGGCGGCACUGAGGCACCGGCCGGAUCGUGGAGCAGGGUAGCAGCCAGCUCGGCGGGGAAUCAGGUGUAGCGGGAGAACUUUGCCGGCAGUCUGUAGGAUCAAAAUCAGUGCAUGAAGGAGCUACUACAACGUCAAGGAUAAUUUGAUAAUUUGGGAUGUGACAAUAAUGCUUAACCUGUUCUUCAUGUUUUCUUUUUCAUAAUUGACAUAGAUAUGAUUCUUGAAAAAGCCAAUUUUUUUCUCGUGGCCUACAAAGUAAUUGCCCCUAGCUUUACUUUUAUGUCAUCCUACAUUGGUCUACAUUACUUAUAUGUCUCAAACUAGGACACAUAAAUUUAGAGAUUUUCUGUUUUCACCAGAACAAGUUAACUGAUGAUGGUACUGAACAUGAUGAACGAAUAAAGAAGAAAUAUUUGCAACAAUGAUUUGAGAAGUUUAACAACGGCA